rnacentral:misc_RNA from 1 species
GAUGAAGAACGUAGUGAAAUGCGAUAAGUAAUGUGAAUUGCAGAAUUCAGUGAAUCAUCGAAUCUUUGAACGCACAUUGCGCCCGCCAGUAUUCUGGCGGGCAUGCCUGUUCGAGCGUCAUUACAACCCUCAGGCCCCCGGGCCUGGCGUUGGGGAUCGGCGGAAGCCCCCUGCGGGCACAACGCCGUCCCCCAAAUACAGUGGCGGUCCCGCCGCAGCUUCCAUUGCGUAGUAGCUAACACCUCGCAACUGGAGAGCGGCGCGGCCACGCCGUAAAACACCCAACUUCUGAAUGUUGACCUCGAAUCAGGUAGGAAUACCCGUUGAACUUAAGCAUAUCAAUAAGCGGAGGA